UCAAGAACGAAAGUCGGAGGUUCGAAGACGAUCAGAUACCGUCGUAGUUCCGACCGUAAACGAUGCCGACCCGCGAUCCGGCGGCGUUUAUUCCCAUGACCCGCCGGGCAGCGUUGCGGGAAACCACGAGUCUCUGGGCUCCGGGGGGAGUAUGGUUGCAAAGCUGAAACUUAAAGGAAUUGACGGAAGGGCACCACCAGGAGUGGAGCCUGCGGCUUAAUUUGACCCAACACGGGGAACCUCACCCGGCCCGGACACGGAAAGGAUUGACAGAUUGACGGCUCUUUCUCGAUUCUGUGGGUGGUGGUGCAUGGCCGUUCGUAGUUGGUGGAGCGAUUUGUCUGGUUGAUUCCGAUAACGAACGAGACUCUGGCAUGCUAACUAGUUACGCGGCCCCGCGCGGUCGGCGUCUGCAACUUCUUAGAGGGACAAGUGGCGUUCAGCCACGCGAGACUGAGCAAUAACAGGUCUGUGAUGCCCUUAGAUGUCCGGGGCUGCACGCGCGCCACAAUGGGCGGAUCAACGUGUGCCUACCCUGCGCCGACAGGCGCGGGUAACCCGUUGAACCCCGCCCGUGAUGGGGACCGGGGAUUGAAACUAUUUCCCGAGAACGAGGAAUUCCCAGUAAGCGCAGGUCAUCAGCUUGCGUUGAUUAAGUCCCUGCCCUUUGUACACACCGCCCGUCACACCA
rnacentral:rRNA from 1 species